rnacentral:rRNA from 2 species
CGCCCUUUUCCGGUUGAUCCUGCCGGACCCGACUGCUAUCGGAUUGAGAUUUAGCCAUGCGAGUUGAACGUCUCUUGAUUGCAGGAGGCGUAGCAUACGGCUCAGUAACACGUAGUCAACCUGCCCUGUAGACACGGAUAACCCCGGGAAACUGGGACUAAUCCGUGAUAGGUCGCCUCACCUGGAAGGAGAGGCGGCUCAAAAGGGGGAGUGGGCCUCCACUCUUCUCGCUUCAGGAUGGGACUGCGGCCGAUCAGGCUGUUGGCGGGGUAAUGGCCCACCAAACCUGUAACCGGUACGGGCCUUGAGAGAGGGGGCCCGGAGAUGGACACUGAGACAAGGGUCCAGGUCCUACGGGGCGCAGCGGGCGCGAAACCUUCGCAAUGCGCGAAAGCGUGACGAGGUUAAUCCGAGUGGUUUCCGCUGAGGAAAUCUUUUGCCGACUGUAAAAAGGUCGGAGAAUAAGGGGAGGGCAAGUCUGGUGUCAGCCGCCGCGGUAAUACCAGCUCCUCGAGUGGUCGGGGCGAUUAUUGGGCCUAAAGCAUCCGUAGCCGGUUCCGUAGGUCUCCUGCUAAAUCCAGUCGCUCAACGAUUGGCCCGCAGGAGAUACCGCGGGACUAGGAGGCGGGAGAGGUGGACGGUACUCCACGUGUAGGGGUAAAAUCCUUUGAUCCGUGGAAGACCACCAGUGGCGAAGGCGGUCCACCAGAACGCGCUCGACGGUGAGGGAUGAAAGCUGGGGGAGCGAACCGGAUUAGAUACCCGGGUAGUCCCAGCCGUAAACGAUGCUAGCUAGAUGAUCCAAUCGCGAAUCGCGAUUGGAGUGUCGCAGGGAAGCCGUUAAGCUAGCCGCCUGGGGAGUACGGUCGCAAGACUGAAACUUAAAGGAAUUGGCGGGGGAGCACCACAAGGGGUGAAGCCUGCGGUUCAAUUGGAGUCAACGCCAGGAAACUUACCAGGAGAGACAGCAGGUUGAGGGUCAGGCUGAAGACCUUACCUGACGAGCUGAGAGGAGGUGCAUGGCCGUCGCCAGCUCGUGCCGUGAGGCGUCCUGUUAAGUCAGGCAACGAGCGAGACCCAAAGGGCG